rnacentral:rRNA from 1 species
AUUGAACGCUAGCGGGAUGCUUUACACAUGCAAGUCGAACGGCAGCGCGGACUUCGGUCUGGCGGCGAGUGGCGAACGGGUGAGUAAUGUAUCGGAACGUGCCCAGUAGCGGGGGAAAACUACGCGAAAGCGUAGCUAAUACCGCAUACGCCCUACGGGGGAAAGCAGGGGAUCGUAAGACCUUGCACUAUUGGAGCGGCCGAUAUCGGAUUAGCUAGUUGGUGAGGUAACGGCUCACCAAGGCGACGAUCCGUAGCUGGUUUGAGAGGACGACCAGCCACACUGGGACUGAGACACGGCCCAGACUCCUACGGGAGGCAGCAGUGGGGAAUUUUGGACAAUGGGGGCAACCCUGAUCCAGCCAUCCCGCGUGUGCGAUGAAGGCCUUCGGGUUGUAAAGCACUUUUGGCAGGAAAGAAACGUCGCGGGCUAAUACCCCGUGGAACUGACGGUACCUGCAGAAUAAGCACCGGCUAACUACGUG